CCUACGGGGCGCAGCAGUGAGGAAUAUUGGUCAAUGGUCGGGAGACUGAACCAGCCAAGCCGCGUGAGGGAUGAAGGUACAGAGUAUCGUAAACCUCUUUUGUCAGGGAACAAAGGCGGGGACGUGUCCCCGGAUGAGUGUACCUGAAGAAAAAGCAUCGGCUAACUCCGUGCCAGCAGCCGCGGUAAUACGGAGGAUGCGAGCGUUAUCCGGAUUUAUGGGGUUAAAAGGGUGGGCAGGCGGUCUGUUAAGUCAGCGGUCAAAGCCCGGGGCUCAACCCCGGCCCGCCGUUGAAACUGGCAGUCUCGAGUUGGAGAGAAGUAUGCGGAAUGCGCGGUGUAGCGGUGAAAUGCAUAGAUAUCGCGCAGAACUCCGAUUGCGAAGGCAGCAUGCCGGCUCCACACUGACGCUGAGGCACGAAAGCGUGGGUAUCGAACAGGAUUAGAUACCCUUGUAGUC
rnacentral:rRNA from 1 species